rnacentral:tRNA from 1 species
CAGACUAUAGCUUAUUUAUAAAGCUUUUUAGUUACAUUAAUAAGAAAACAAUUUUGUUUAGUUUGA